CCUACGGGGGGCUGCAGUGGGGAAUAUUGGACAAUGGGCGAAAGCCUGAUCCAGCCAUGCCGCGUGUGUGAAGAAGGCCUUCGGGUUGUAAAGCACUUUCAGUGGGGAAGAAAGCCUUGGGGCUAAUACCCUCGAGGAAGGACAUCACCCACAGAAGAAGCACCGGCUAACUCCGUGCCAGCAGCCGCGGUAAUACGGAGGGUGCGAGCGUUAAUCGGAAUUACUGGGCGUAAAGCGCGCGUAGGCGGUCUGAUAAGCCGGUUGUGAAAGCCCCGGGCUCAACCUGGGAACGGCAUCCGGAACUGUCAGGCUAGGAGGCAGGAGAGGAAGGUAGAAUUCCCGGUGUAGCGGUGAAAUGCGUAGAGAUCGGGAGGAAUACCAGUGGCGAAGGCGGCCUUCUGGACUGACACUGACGCUGAGGUGCGAAAGCGUGGGUAGCAAACAGGAUUAGAUACCCGGGUAGUC
rnacentral:rRNA from 1 species